CGCCGCACCGAGCAGUCGCUGCCUCACUACCUGACCUGCCGCACCGCACGCACAGUCAGAUCCUCACUGCGUAGUCCAGAGCCUAAACAGCACCAGCCAACGCAGAGAUCCCUCUAGCUGCCAAUUUUUGCUGAUAUACACAGAGUACACCUCCGAGAAACGCGUACUUCGUGUCCAGUACUACUGGUUCUGAAAGGAACGAUUACGACGCAGGUGUCACAGUGUGCGUGGAUAAAGAGCGGUUCCUGUGUAGCCGUCGCC